rnacentral:rRNA from 1 species
CUGCUGCCUCCCGUAGGAGUUUGGUCCGUGUCUCAGUACCAAUGUGGGGGUUGACCUCCCAGUCCCCCUAUGUAUCGUCGCCUUGGUGAGCCGUUACCUCACCAACUAGCUAAUACAACGCAUGUCCAUCUCUGACCACCUGAGUUUUCAACCACCGAAGAUGCCUCCGGUGAUGUUAUGGGGUAUUAGUACCAAUUUCUCGAUGUUAUCCCCCUGUCAAAGGUAGGUUACAUACGCGUUACGCACCCGUCCGCCGGUCGCCGGCA